UUAGUAUCUCUUAGAGAGGUAUUGGUGCUGAAGGGAAGCCGAAGAGUGAGCUACCUGGGAAGUAUAGUCGCAAGGCCGAAACUUAAAGGAAUUGGCGGGGAGGUACUACAACGGGUGACGCGUGCGGUUUAAUCAGACUUUACACCGUGAACCUUACCAGGAGCGACAGCAGAAUGAAGGUCAGUCUAAAGGGCUUACCUGACACGCUGAGCGGAGUUGCAUGGCCGACAUAAGCCUGUGUUGUGAGAUGACUUGUUAAAUCAAGUAACAGGCGAGACCCCUGUGUUUAAUUGCUACAUUAUGGGCACAUUAGACAGACUGCCUUGGUAACAAGGAGGAGGGUGGGGGCAAUGUUAGGUGUGUACAGCCCUAAUCCCCUGGGCAACACGCGCGCGGCAAUGUUACAUUCAAUGAGACGCAACUCUGAAAAGAGAAGCUAAUCUCCUAAAGUGUAGCCUAGUUCAGAUUGAGGUUUGCAACCCAACCUCAUGACGAUGGAAUCCGUAGUAAUCGGGUGUUAUCAGCGCCCGGUGAAUACGUCACUGCCUCUUGCACACACUGCCCGUCAAACCAACCGAGUUAUGCUUUGGCGAGAUCCUUCGGGAACGAACCUCGGUAUGACAAGGUAGGUUAAGUCGUAACAAGGUAGCC
rnacentral:rRNA from 1 species